UCCCUAAACAGCCCCUCACAUUUCCA
rnacentral:piRNA from 1 species